rnacentral:misc_RNA from 1 species
GAUGAAGAACCCAGCGAAAUGCGAUACGUAAUGUGAAUUGCAGAAUUCAGUGAAUCAUCGAGUCUUUGAACGCACAUUGCGCCCCCUGGUAUUCCGGGGGGCAUGCCUGUCCGAGCGUCAUUGCUGCCCUCAAGCACGGCUUGUGUGUUGGGCCUCCGUCCUCCUCCCGGGGGACGGGCCCGAAAGGCAGCGGCGGCACCGCGUCCGGUCCUCGAGCGUAUGGGGCUUCGUCACCCGCUCUUGUAGGCCCGGCCGGCGCUUGCCGACACAUCAAUCUUUUUUCCAGGUUGACCUCGGAUCAGGUAGGGAUACCCGCUGAACUUAAGCAUAUCAAUAAGCGGAGGA